GAGAGCAACGAGUAGGGAGGUGAUGAGACAUGAGAAAAUCCAAAGCAUUACCAACAAAGGAUGCAAUUUCAACAUGAUUGAUUUACAGCGUUUUCUGUCAAAUACGACACUUGGUUAUUCUGCAAGAAGAGUUGAUUGAUUGAACUGACUGCUUUACAGCGUUCUUUGCCAUAUAAGACACUUGGGUGUUAUGUAAGAAGAGCUGCUAGAUCAAACUUACAGGUAUGCAAAAAGAUCAUCAAUGGCUUGGAUGCUCACAACACUAGACCCAUAAGACUUUUAAGAGACAAAGCAUGAAGUCCAUAAAC